rnacentral:lncRNA from 1 species
UAAUAUUGCAACCAAAUGCAAAAAUUGGGCUAAAUAUAAGUAUGGAACACUCACUCGGGCAUCCAUUUUGGAUUAAAUGUCGAAUUUUCUCACUAGAUAGCGUUUCGGUUCAUUUCCGCUUUCGGUUUAUGGAAUCAUAUAAGCCGAACCCGAAACUGAAAUGCAACUGAAAUUCGUUAUAAAUGUAAUUUCUGUUUCUGCCAUUCUGCUCUAUAUUGUACGCCUGUGGAGUCUAGGCUUAACGUUGAAAUUUACAACUCGUUCUAAAUUAUCAAUUUCGCGCCGGUUACAGUGCGUUAUGGAUGACGUCGGAGUAUAUACCUAUGAAUUGUUUCUAACGUCGUCGCCGACGAGCGUCUCUGCCACGUCGGACUAUAAACAAGCCUUAGACUAGGUUCACACACACUUCGCUUUCGAAUGCGGAAAGCGAAAACGCCAACAUUUUUCGCCUAGGAAAUUUCAUUCACACACGAAUGCGAAACAGCCGGAGCGAAAUAAUUAGCCAAUCACAUGAGAACAGAGUCAAAACAAUUCAGUAGGUUGUCUUUGUAGCGUGCAUAUUUUUUAUCAAACAAAAAU